GUACUCGCUUCGGCGGUACAUAUACUAAAGUUGGAAUGAUACAGAGAAGAUUAGCAUGGCCCCUGCGCAAGGAUGACACACAAAAUCGUGAAGCGUUCCAUAUUUUU
rnacentral:snRNA from 1 species